CCUUGCCAGCCCGCUCAGAAACUCAAAGGAAUUGACGGGGCCGCACAAGCGUGGAGUAUGUGGUUUAAUUCGAUGCAACGCGAAGAACCUUACCUGGUCUUGACAUCCCGGAGACCCUUAGGAAACUAGGGGGUGCUUCCAUCUGGAAGAAUCUGGAGACAGGUGCUGCAUGGCUGUCGUCAGCUCGUGUCGUGAGAUGUUGGGUUAAGUCCCGCAACGAGCGCAACCCUUGCCUUUAGUUGCCAGCAGUUCGGCUGGGCACUCUAAAGGGACUGCCGGUGUUAAACCGGAGGAAGGUGGGGAUGACGUCAAGUCCUCAUGGCCUUUAUGACCAGGGCUACACACGUACUACAAUGGCCGAUACAAAGGGCAGCGACACUGCGAGGUGAAGCCAAUCCCGUAAAAUCGGUCUCAGUCCGGAUUGGAGUCUGCAACUCGACUCCAUGAAGUUGGAAUCGCUAGUAAUCGUGGAUCAGCAUGCCACGGUGAAUACGUUCCCGGGCCUU
rnacentral:rRNA from 1 species